GUCGGGAAUUUUGCUCAAUGGGCGAAAGCCUGAAGCAGCAACGCCGCGUGAGGGAUGAAGGCCUUCGGGUUGUAAACCUCUUUUCUCAGGGACGAUAAUGACGGUACCUGAGGAAUAAGCCACGGCUAACUACGUGCCAGCAGCCGCGGUAAUACGUAGGUGGCAAGCGUUGUCCGGAUUUACUGGGCGUAAAGAGCGCGCAGGCGGCCGAAUAAGUCGAAUGUGAAAGCCCCCGGCUCAACUGGGGAAAGUCAUUCGAUACUGUUCGGCUUGAAGGUAGGAGAGGGAAGCGGAAUUUCAGGUGUAGUGGUGAAAUGCGUAGAUAUCUGAAGGAACACCAGUGGCGAAGGCGGCUUUCUGGCCUAUUCUUGACGCUGAGGCGCGAAAGCUAGGGGAGCGAACGGGAUUAGAAACCCUAGUAGUCC
rnacentral:rRNA from 1 species